CACAUCUUCCUGUUGGGGAUCAUUUUAUAGCUUGCUAGAGAGAUGUUUUUGACAGUGUUUGGUCUUACCUCUCAAAUGGAAGAGAUGUAAUGCUUUUUUCUGAGCAUAAAGCAGGUAGAGGUCUAUACUUCUGUAGCUUUCUGUCAUUGAUGACUGCAUGUGUUAGCUCGUUGAGGAAUUAACAGGAAGAAGAAAGUGUAAUCUGAGUGGU